AAAGCCUGACGCAGCGACGCCGCGUGAGGGAUGAAGGUUUUCGGAUCGUAAACCUCUGUCAGAAGGGAAGAAACAGCACCGUGUUAAUCAGCGGUGCCUUGACGGUACCUUCAAAGGAAGCACCGGCGAACUCCGUGCCAGCAGCCGCGGUAAUACGGAGGGUGCAAGCGUUACUCGGAAUCACUGGGCGUAAAGAGCACGUAGGCGGCCUUGCAAGUCAGAUGUGAAAUCCAACGGCUUAACCGUUGAACUGCAUUUGAAACUGCAAGGCUAGAGUAUGGGAGAGGUAGGUGGAAUUCUCGGUGUAGGGGUAAAAUCCGUAGAGAUCGAGAGGAAUACUCAUUGCGAAGGCGACCUGCUGGAACAUUACUGACGCUGAGGUGCGAAAGCGUGGGGAGCAAACA
rnacentral:rRNA from 1 species